UGAAAUCCUCCGAAAUAUAAGGGUAACGGCUUGCGGAUUUGCCCGUUCGGCCCCGCUCCUCCGCCAACGUUCAUCAGAUUUCCCUUUCUCACUCCAUCGGCAGAUCGACCUCCCUCGAGUCUCCCUCUCUCACUUCAUCAUCAUCGCAUUCGCGGCUGCGGAUUUGACAGUGGAACCUAUGAUGGUUCCGAUCCGAUGUACGCARAGAAGACCAACCUCAACUCAAGAAUCAGCCGUGUUGCUGGCGAAUCAUCCCUGAAGGCUGGCCAUGUUACUGCUCUACGCUAAAUGGAGAAUGCAAUAAUUAAGAAUGAAAGCAUCAUCAACCACCACAAGAAUGUCAAGUUCAUUUGUGCGAUGUGACAUCUCUAGAGCUUAGCAUUUCCCACGAGUCAACAUACUUGAUAUUCUCAAAUUGGUUGCUAUGAACUUAAAACUGAUAAAGAGGUGGAGAAUUUGGCCGGAGCGAUAGUUAAAUGGUUGAUUUUUUGUGGAUAUACAUUCUUAAGUGAGCGGUCUGGAGAUUCCAAGCGCAAAUAAGACCAACACAUUAUAGGGAAAUAGUUCUAGACUAGGAAUCCUCCCAGCGGAAAGAGAUGUGUAUCGUCUUAACAAAGCAUUGAGUAAGAAAUCAGGUCAACCUAGGCGGCAUCUGCUCACUACUGGGUGGAGUAUUUUUGUUGGCCAAAAGAAUCUUAUUUAUGGGGGUGCAGUGCUCUUUCUAAGGGAAAAUAAGAGAUUAGAGUAUCCAGGGCGAUCUUACACACAUGCUCAAUUUCAACCCACUAACAAGUGGAAGAGAAAAAGAACCGGAAUGUGUCAUCACUAGGGACUAGUUAUUGUUGAUUAGUAGGACAGCAAACCAUAUGGGAUUGUGUGAGCUCAUUCGGUGGUCCUUUAUCAUGUCAAGUACUUAACUCUCCURUUAGACCUCGAGUUGUCAAUAUUUACUCUAGGAGGGUAGGUUGGGAAUUUCGCUUGUUAGUUAGUUAGGGGAGGGCUGUACGGCUGAGUGGGAGGGGAAUUAUAGGCAGGGAUCCCCCUCGGGAGGAGGGCAGUUUGUUUUUGGUUAGGAGAAAUAGCGAGAGCUAUUGGGGAGAGAAACCAACCCUCUCGAAUAUGUUGGUCGACUGUAAGCCCAUGGGGUUCCUUUGUUUUGAAUAUCAAGAAUCGUAAGUGAGUUCCCUUAUGAGCUCCUGGGGAAGUUGAGCAAGAUGGCCCAGAAAAAAUUGGAAGAGAGAUGAGAUGCAGCCGAAGCCGUGAUGGCGAGUCUGAAGGAGUCAAACGCCAUUCAGGGACAAGUUGAAUCAAACCAGAAGAUGCGGGAGAAGUUUAUGGCUCAGAUGGAGGCUCAUCAGAAGUCCACAGUGAGAUUCAUGGUCGAGAUCACCGAAGAUAAGUCGUCUUUGCUUGUUUCGAUAGUAGGAGAAACGAUCGUCUUCCAAACAUGGAGCGUCGAGCGAGCACCAAGUAGUUGAAUCGAUCGAACAGGGAGGGGAUCAGAGCAAAUUUAAGAAAGUCGAGAUACCAAUUUUCACAUACUACAAGAAGAUGAUUGUAGCUGUUAUUAGUUUCGUGGGAGUUGCUCUUGCGUGAUACUGUUGGUGUGAUAACCGUCAGAAAUUCUUAGAUUGGGAUGAUUUGAAGGUACAUAUGGAUCAGAGUUAUUCCGGCCACAGGGACAACUUCACCGCAGUACAACUUAUCACCCUUAAACCAAUGGCCAGUCGGAAAGGGUUAACCAGUGCCUCAAAGGUGCUUGUGCAGUGAUUCCUCGAGGCAAUGGGGACAUUGGUUACCUUUGGCCGAAUUCUGGUACAAUACCACGUACCACCUUUUGGGGGGCACUACCCCGUUUCAUAUUGUAUAUGGUCGUGCACCUCCCUCAUUAAUUGGGUAUGGAAGGCAAAAGACUGGCAAUGCAACACUAGGUCAACAACUGGAAGAACGCGCUGAGGCUCUUGCUCGCAUAAAGGAACAUCUACGGGUGGCCCAGGAUUGCAUGAAGAAAUUCGCUGAUAAGAUUAGGUGUGAUCUGGAAUUUGCAGCAGAGGACUGGGUGUUUCUGAAAUUGCGGCCAUAUCGACGGAAAACAAUGGCAAAACGUUGGAAUGAGAAGCUAGCUCCCAAGUACUUUGAUCCAUUUGAAGUACUCCAGCGGGUGGGGAAGGUGGCCUACAAGCUAAAACUACCGGUUGGGUCGCUGAUACAUCCUAUAUUCCACGUUUCACCGCUCAAAAGAGCAGUGAGAGUAUAGACUACUGUUCAUCCACUCACGCCGUGGGUGACGACUAGUAUGGGAUGGCUUGCUGAGCUAGCUGAGGUGUUUGCCACCAGAACUAAUGACAAGACUCAAAAGGAAGAAGCUUUAAUUGCCUGGAAGAAUCUAGCUGAAGAGGAAGCAACGUGGGAGGUUGUCGAGGACUUAUAUAAGCAAUUCCCUGAAUUUAGCCGAUGGAACYUUGCUGAUGCCCGCACCUUGGGAACAAGGUGGAUCUGGAACAGGGGGCUAUGUUAGACCUCCAGUCGUCAAUACUUACUCUAUGAGGGGUAGGUUGGGAAUUUCGCUUAUUAGUUAGUUAGGGGAGGAUCGUACGACUGAGUGAGAGGGGAAUUAUAGGCGGGGAUCCCCCUCGRGAAGAGGACAGUCUAUUUUUUGUUAAGAGAAAUAGCAAGAGCUAUUGGGGAGAGAAACCAACCUCCUCGAAUAGGUUGGCCGAUGGUAAGCUUACGAGCGUUCUUUGUUUUGAAUAUCAAGAAUCGUAAGGGAGUUCCCUUACAUCUACUACAUUGCAUACCCUUCCGCGCCUUGUAAAAAAAGUGACUUAUUAGAGAGUUAGUUGGUGGGUGCAGCUGAAUGUUAGUAAAUAAGUUUCAUGUUAAACUAUCUUUUCUAGUUCUUUUCGUUAAAGAUGUUUGUUCGAUAACUGAACUGAAUUUGGUACUUGCUUUUGUUCUUAAGAAGAAAAUGUCUUAAUGUCAUGUAAUUGUUAAUAGUUAUAUUUAUUUAAAACUACAAAACUGUAGCCUAUUUUCUCUAGUUAUUUGGAAUGUGCAAGUCCUACAUUUCAUGAAAUUUGUUGGUGAAAUACCUGGCAGGUGAAUGCCACCUCAUUUUGUCUUUAGUUCUGUCGGAGUAUAAAUAAUCGAACGUUAAAUAGAUUUUGAUGGCUUGUUAUUUUCUUUCUAUGAUCUACCAAUUUUGAACUGAUUUUACACAUCGAUGACUAAUAAUUAUGUCUACUUUUGUUAGCUCUUCAGACAUUUAGUCAUUUUAUUGUGUUGCGUUUUUAAAGUUGGUAGUUCUUGACUUUUGAGCAAGAAUGUUUACGGCCGUACAUGAGAUUUUGGAAGUGCAGAGGUCUUAACACUUCUUCAUCCUUGAUUUUAUAAUCUCUCUAGCUCACUCUUUAUAAAUUUUGAAUUUUGAUAUAUCUUCGAUAUCAAUAGCCUGCCAUUUUGUUUUUUGUUGUUUUUUUUUUCAGUUCUUAAAAAUUGGUCUUUUGGAUCAUCAGCAUAGAUCCCUAUCUUCGUUUUCUCUGUUUUUCAAUAAUAUAUUUGUUGUUGUGGCUGCUAGCGAUCUUUUAAAAGUAUUUGUGAUUUGUGGAAGUAGUAUUUAUUUGAGUGAGAACAAUGGAUAGAAUGACAGUAAUGACAUGCACCAAUUUUCAAUGGGCACUUUUGAUCUACUUUUACUCUUUUAUCUUUGAAUUAUUAGCUGCAAUGUUUACUUUAUGGUGUUGGCUCUUGUUUGCUUUUAGAUAUCUUUGAUUGUAGAUCUAGUGUCACUUGUCGGUGGACUAAGAAGCACGAACAGGACAGRGACACCACGAUAGGUUCAUUUAGUUUUUGCAAAUAUUUGAUACAGCCACCCUCUUCUUGCUAGGCUAUCCCUUGUCGGCAAUCUUUCAUGGCAUACCCACCACAUAAAAAUCUUAAUUUUACUGAGAACUUUCAACUUCCAGAAUCCCUUCCACCAAGCCAAUCUAAGCUAAAGGCGAAAACAAGUUAUUCUCAAAUUCUCCUUAAAAUGAGAUCACUAUUUGACUUGUUGGGAGAUAAGCAAACUCCACAUCAACAUACAACUUUAGUGGUUGGAAGCAAGUAAAUUUGUUCUCGUGAUGCUCCCUCGUUCUCAAUAGUAUUACAAGGACACGGAAACUUUUCAGAAGUCCUUUGCGUUUGCUACUAUUUCGACUUAAUUAGCUGCUCUCUCUAUUCUUUAAUUUCCCUUUUUGUUGCUGCUAAAGAAUCUUGGGUGGGGACUUGUUUGAAUGAGUAUUUUUAGUGUGAAGAAAAUCCAGUUGGUAGAGAAUCACUUGCAAGGAUGAUGGAAACAUUUCCCAACCCACAGUCCAAAAAGUUUCGUGAGCCGCAUGGUUACUAUCUCUUCGGCAAUAGGUGAAUUCCACUUCUUUCAAAGCUUUCGAGAGAUUGAUAAUUUCUUGGACAAUCAUUAUGGAAGGGGCAGUCGUGCUCCAAUAAUACAGUGGAGGUGGAUGGAUUGAUGGAUAUAUCAUAUAUUCCUGUAUGGUGUAUCCUACAGGCUACAGUACACUCUCAUCUUAUGGGCAGUCACGAGUGGGACUCCACUAUUCUCAUUUCUCUCUAAUUACUUCUCUUCCUUUCUCCACUCUCUGACUACACAGAAUAUUUAUUAUUCUCUCACUCUCUCUCUCUUCAACAACAUUACAUGUAAAACAAAAACUGAUGCCUCCUGCCUGCCUACACCAUAUUUCUGUGCACAACGCUAACAUUUCAUUUCAAUUUCAUCCACUUUUUAACAGAAAAUACUACAUUUACAACUCUCACAUUUCUCUCCUCUCUCUCUCUCUCUCUCUCUCUCUCUCUCUCUCUCUCUCUCUCUCUCCUCAACUCAAACAAAAACCCACAAGAAAAAAAGCCAGAAAAUUCAUUAUUAUUCUUUUCUGUUUCUUUUUUACAGAAUGGGAAGGGAACAACUAUAGCUACAAACUAAUUAAAACCUCCUUCAUUGGAUUUUGGACCACAGCCACAGUAGAAGCAGAACAAAAUCUUCUUCUUACUUGUUAAUCGCCUGCGCCUGCGGUGGCUCGAUCUUGUGCUCUGAGUAUAAUAGUCCGGCGCACGCAGUGGGUUGGGUUUUUGGUUUAAUUUAAUUAAUAUAUUUAUUAUUAUUAUUGUACAUAUGGGCGGUAAUUAAUAGAUUAAAAAGAGCAGCUCAGGAGGGAUAGACAAGGAAGGAGAAGAUGAGUUGGGUGGAAAUAGGGAUAGAUUGUACUCAAACUCUACAUGGGUCACUCCCAAAAUAGAGCAUGAAAUCAAAUGGAAGGUAGAGGGAAGGGGUAUACUAUUGGGUCUUACAAGGUCAAGAAAAGGUCUUACAAGGUCAAGAAGACUGGACCAAAUUAAAAAA